GACGAACGCUGGCGGCGUGCUUAACACAUGCAAGUCGAACGGAAAGGCCUGCUUUCCCUUGUGGAUUGCGGGUACUCGAGUGGCGAACGGGUGAGUAACACGUGAGUGAUCUGCCCCCAACUUGGGUAUAAGCCUGGGAAACUGGGUCUAAUUCCCGAUAGGACUGCAGGGUGGUGCCUGUGGUGGAAAACGAUGUUCUAGUGGUUGGGGAUGAGCUCGCGGCCUAUCAGCUUGUUGGUGGGGUAAUGGCCUACCAAGGCGGCGACGGGUAGCCGGCCUGAGAGGGUGGACGGCCACAUUGAGACUGCGAUACGGCCCAGACUCCUACGGGAGGCAGCAGUGGGGAAUAUUGCACAAUGGGCGGAAGCCUGAUGCAGCGACGCCGCGUGGGGGAUGACGGCCUUCGGGUUGUAAACUCCUUUCGACCGCGAGGAAGCCACCUGGUUGGGAGGGUGGUGACGGUAGUGGUAGAAGAAGCACCGGCUAACUACGUG
rnacentral:rRNA from 1 species